rnacentral:rRNA from 1 species
GUUAAGCGACUAAGCGUACACGGUGGAUGCCCUGGCAGUCAGAGGCGAUGAAGGACGUGCUAAUCUGCGAUAAGCGUCGGUAAGGUGAUAUGAACCGUUAUAACCGGCGAUUUCCGAAUGGGGAAACCCAGUGUGUUUCGACACACUAUCAUUAACUGAAUCCAUAGGUUAAUGAGGCGAACCGGGGGAACUGAAACAUCUAAGUACCCCGAGGAAAAGAAAUCAACCGAGAUUCCCCCAGUAGCGGCGAGCGAACGGGGAGCAGCCCAGAGCCUGAAUCAGUGUGUGUGUUAGUGGAAGCGUCUGGAAAGGCGCGCGAUACAGGGUGACAGCCCCGUACACAAAAAUGCACAUGCUGUGAGCUCGAUGAGUAGGGCGGGACACGUGGUAUCCU